rnacentral:rRNA from 1 species
CCUACGGGGGGCAGCAGUGGGGAAUAUUGCACAAUGGGGGAGACCCUGAUGCAGCGACGCCGCGUGAGUGAAGAAGUAUUUCGGUAUGUAAAGCUCUAUCAGCAGGGAAGAAAUAGCGACCUUUGGGUCGCCAGACGGUACCUGACUAAGAAACCCCGGCUAACUACGUGCCAGCAGCCGCGGUAAUACGGAGGGGGCAAGCGUUAUCCGGAUUUACUGGGUGUAAAGGGAGCGUAGACGGCGGCACAAGUCUGAAGUGAAAUGCCGGGGCUUAACCCCGGAACUGCUUUGGAAACUGUGCAGCUAGAGUGCAGGAGAGGUAAGUGGAAUGCGUAGUGUAGCGGUGAAAUGCGUAGAUAUCAGGAGGAACACCAGUGGCGAAGGCGGCUUACUGGACCGUAACUGACGUUGAGGCUCGAAAGCGUGGGGAGCAAACAGGAUUAGAUACCCCAGUAGUC